UCUUUUUUGUUUGUUUUUCUCCUUAGUCCUGACACAGUGAUCACUAUCAAAAUUAUAAUUGUUGUCUUUUCAGUUUUCCAGCUGGUGCUGCAUCUUUGAAUACCUGUUUGCACUGGGAGGCAACUAGANCCUGCCAAAAUUUCAGAACUCUGCAUCUUCUCCUUGAGGGCAGACCACUCUCCUAGUGGCCUCCAAAAGCCUAUUUCAGGAUCAAAUCCUUGUAAUGCACUUUGCUAUGCUGUGAAAUAAGAAGACAUGUUUUUUCUCUUCCCCCUCUCCAGAAUUCCUGUCCUUCUCUACCUUUUAGAGUAAGCAGAUCUGCUGCCCAGAAGCAUGUAGGCCUACCUCACAGCACUCACUGUGGGGGGGAAAGCCGCUGCCCUUUGUCUUCCAGCUCCACCCUGAUGUGAGAAACACGUCUUUGGUGACACUGGUCUGCUUCAAAACGCAGGUACACAUUAUCUUGUGGGCAGGUGGCACAAUUUCCAGAAUGUAGCAUAACAUUAAGAAAUGG
rnacentral:lncRNA from 1 species